AAUGCACCAAUUUUUAUGUCGCUCUGGAUAAGAGCGUCUGCUAAAUGACUUAAA
rfam:Salmo salar isolate Sally breed double haploid chromosome ssa07, whole genome shotgun sequence.